rnacentral:lncRNA from 1 species
CUGAACCAGCCAUACCACUAGUUAAUCUUACUAUUUAUUGUACAUAUUUAAAAUAUCUGUCCAAAUGUCCAAUUAUUACAAGUUAAAUCUGUCCAAACGUUCACUUAUUAUAAAUAAAUCAGUCCAAAUGUCUAGUUAUUACGAGGUAACUAUCUCUAACAUGAAAUAUAUUAAAGCUAAAAGAAAAGGAAUACAGGGUGGGGGUUCGAGGAGAACAUAAUGCAUAUAAAUCUUCAGAUCUUGGAAUAUAUUCAACUCAAGCUCCAUACAUCAAUGAAUAUCGAAGUGUACCUGGAAUUCAGCAAGAAACAAAGCCUAUGAGUAAAUGAAAGCACUCAGCAAGCAAGCAGCAGCCAAUUGAGCAGUGAGCACCCAUAUUUUACGAAGGUUUUGAGAAAAUUCAAUAGGAAUGGGAUAACAUUCAAAAUUUUGAAGAAUGUAGAGAAAGCUAAUAUGUGUAUCUUUUUUUUUUGUAUUUUAAUUCACUACAAGGAUUUUAAAGGAAAAAUCCUCUCUAUAUGUUCAGAUUACCCCCUUUUAUAGUGAAGCCUUAGGGCAACACUUUUUCCUUAUUUUUCCUUUUAGUCCCUUAUUCAAAUUUCAGUUUUUCCUGAACAGUCCUUAAUUUUCUGACUUGUGCCUCAAAUUUGAGGCUGAAAUUAUGCCUAAGUCCCUCACUAGAAUGUUCUAAGGGUUGUUACCAGAUUUUGUUAGGCUCAAAUACCCCCUUAUACCCCUAUUUCUUUUCCUAAUUAACUAACAUGAAGUUUUUAACCAUGGUCGGUCAUUUGGUUUGGUCAAAAUUGACCCAGGUCAAUUGUGUUUAAGUUUUGGACCAAAUUUGGUCUGGACUAACAGGCUUAAUAAAAAGUAUAAGAAUUAGCCAAUACUAUUCAAGUUUUAAACAAGUAUCUUAAUGUUGAUUUUUCAACAACCAAACAUCAUUCAGGAUGAACAUUCAAUGUCAAAAACCAAUGAAUUAAAAUGACUAGAAAAGGGAAACCAUCCACUAAUGCUUAACUUACAGAAAUAACCCAAUUAAGGUACUCAGUAAAACUAGAUAGUGAGAAACGAAUAACAGGAAUUGAAAACUCAGUUCAUAGUAAAAUCCGGAAACUAAAGGCUAAUAUCAGCAAUUAAAGGUUCAGUAAAAAUAAAUUAGCCUAAUACAUGCAAAUACUGAAGAUCAAAAUUACUUAUGAAAUGAAAAACAACUACGCAACAUAAGUAAGGUACGAAACUAAUCAGGAUCUCAGGGUGAAGCAAAUGAAAAACAGGGUACAAGGAUCAAUAUCCAUAACAAAUCAGUAGGCAGAAAGAUCAUGCAAAAUUUCAAAGCCAAAAGGCAAAGAUCAAUUAGUCAUGUGCAACACAACUCAGAAGAUUAUAGAAGGAAUUAAUCCACAAAUGAUAUCCAGAGAAGGUAUAGAACAUAACGAACAUAUGUAAAAGUUAACACAUAACGACAAUUUAAAGAAAAGACUUCAGAGAAGGUAUAGAACAUAACAAACAUAUGUAAAAGUUAACACAAAACAACAAUUUAAAGAAAAGACUUAGGCAAACAAAAAAAGAAAACAGGGUACUUAGCUUGUACGCUUGUAUCCCUGACUUGAAUCCAUUCAUUGGUUUCUGACCUCUUUUGGGAGGUUGUUAACCUUCUAGGGCAACUGGCCUUGUGGGUAAUAGGCUCAGUGGUUCAGGAAUGGGAGCUUGUGAUUCUGAGACCAAGUGAGGUCUCAGAUCUGAACUUUCUUGGCGGUUAGUGGUGUUUGAGGGCUGUGGGUGGCAUGGUUGGGGAGGGUAAUGGACAGGGAUUGUCUGGGGUCAGUUUGACCAGAAUCCAGUGGGGUUUGGGUUUUAGGAUUAAACUUCAAAUCAAUAUUCGAGGCGAUAGAGAGUUGUUUGAAAGGAAUGGAUUGCAGGACAGGGAAGGGGAGGUCUAGAUGGUCCUAUGGUGUAAAUUAGGGAUGGUUUGAGAUUGGGUCGCCGGAGACGGUGGUUCCGGCGAACCUAGUUUUGAAUAUUCGAGCAGAUCUGUGUUCGUUCGAAAGAAACCAACUACAGGAAGGGGAAGAGAGGGUCAUGGUGGUCCGAUGGUGAAAAUAUUGGGUGGUUUGGUGACCGGCUGCCGCCGUGAGGUGAUUUCUGGCGGCGGUGUUAGGGUGGCUGAUGGUUGGUCAAAGGCGGUCAACGGGCGGUCAAGGGUGGUCAUAAGGAGGUCAAGGGGAGGGGAUACACCGGAGUGUAUGUAUCAG